rnacentral:misc_RNA from 1 species
CUCAUCAGAUAGAAGGAAAGAGAACACAAGAGCACGUGUUCCCGGGGGCUGACCCAGUUGAUCACCCCUUUGGUGCCUGUGUUAACGCUUCGUCUGGGUGGCUCUUGCCUCUCUUGCUCCUAAUUCUUGAUGUCCGUGUUGGUCCCUCCUGCUGGCUGUAUUGCUCUCCUGCUGUAGCUGCGUCUUCCACCAAGCCUAUAACUCCCUGCUGCUGGUCGUUGGCUGUUUUGGGGUACACGGAGAGUGUGAAGGCGCUCCAUUAAUUGUGAGGUCUGGUUGAUAGGUCUGUUGAAAGUGAUGGAGUCUGAGGAUGACUACAGUGACUAUGAGGAUAAAACUGAAACACAAAGUUACCAGCUGUUGUCUUCUGAGCAUGAUCUGCUUAGAGUGAGUGACAGCCUUUCAAGAAAUGAGAGAUGCAGUCAAAUUAACAGUAUAAGUAAAAAUCGCUUCUUGGUUCUUGAAGCAGAAAAUGACUGUGGAGAAUGUUAUAUUCAAAGUGCAGUUGACCAUCAGUCUGAAGAAGAGGAAUUUCAUGUACAAGAUAUAAAGCAGCUAGAAAAUAUCCAGGAUCAUGGAAGGAUGCAGAUCAGUAUGAAUGGCACAAGAAGCUCUUUACCAGACAAAUCAUCUGUUUCCUCUCCAUGCACAGCUGUUACUACGGCAGGUGGAAAUAGCUCUUCAAGAUUUUCUCGUCUCUUAUUCCUCAUAAAACAGGGAAAAUGUUCCCCAGAUGUGAAUGAUGUGAAUGAUAGGCUUCUAAAGAGAGGAAAUUACUUUGAUCAAAUAAGCUGUAUUCAACAAAAUAAAAGUAAUAAUUUAGAUUGCAUAAGAAAACUAUCAACAUGCAACUCUCAAGAAAAUUUAUCAACAAGUGAUUUCUCUGGUGUUGACUCAUCGGAAACAUCUUCCAGUAACAGAGAUGAUGCCGUAAAAUACCUGACAAGUACCGAACAUGAGCACACUUUUUUGAUGUCUUGUGAUGCAGAGGCAACUAAUACUACCAAACACUUGAGGCCCCCUGAAUUAUAUUCUGAUACAUUAACUGGAAAAGCAGCCGAAAGUAGGUAUCCUAGCCAAAAGAUAUUUUCUGUGCACCUUUCACAUGAAUCGAAUGCUUUGCAACAAACCUUUAAAAAUUAUCUUUCAUAUACGAGGUACUUAUACAGGAGACAGAAACCCUCCAAUAAUUCUGAAAUUAUAUAUAAUGAAAAGAGUAGAAGCACUUCUGUUAAAGAGGACAGUUCAUUUAAAAGAGUUAAGGAGCAGCUUAAGAUAUUUCAUCUGAGAAUAAAAGUUAACAUUUUAGCUCAGCCACUUCCAGCAACUUCAAAUGAGGAGAAAGAAUGGUAUUCCAGACUUGAAAUUCACAUAAAUGAAUUAAGAUCAGCAAAAUCUCAAGUUGAUUUAGUUGAGAAACUGUCAGUGUUUUCCUCUGCCCUUAAGAGUGACAUGUACUUGGGAAACUGCUUUUUAAUUAGCCUCAUGAGUUACGCACAGUCAGUUCUUGAUUUGGAAAAUAAUUUGGCUGAAAUUUGCGAUAUUAUCAUGUGUUUAAUUCCUUGUAUCAAUGUUGUUGUCACCAAGAAAAUUAACAAAAAGACUAUUAAUGUUAUUAAAAAUGACAACAUUAUCCAGACUCUUUACAAGUCAAUGAUAAAUGUAUUCAAGCAGGAAACAAGGUACACUGAAGGAUCCAUCAGGGAGCUGCUACAACAUAAAGAUGACAGUAAGAUCAAGGUUCAUAUAGCACGAAUGACUCCGCAAGAAUCAAAAAAGUUAUUCCAAGAGACCUUUGCUGAUCCUGGGAAUCCUGCUGAUAUGUAUCUUAUUUAUACCUGGCAGAUUUUAAAUAUUUAUGAAGUGAGAGAAGAUAAUAUGCAGGGAACAUCUGUGUUGUCACUCACACAGCUGUUGGAAGACUCGGGAAAGUUUAUAAAUAUAGUUCCAACAAAGGAUUUAAAAAGUAAGGAAGGAAAGGUUCCAUUUAAGAAUGUUACAAAGAUGCCAGCACUGCAAUCAAGUGAUAAUUUGAAAAAGAAUUCAAAUUCGAAAGCAAUGAUUGACUUGAGUUUUGAAUGGGCAGAUUUUCACGUUGGUCAGCUGUAUGAAAAUGGAGUAGUAUUUCUCAUUAAUAUGACUGACUGGCUUGAUUGCUUGAAGGAAAUCUCUUCAGCUAUUGAAAAGUUGGAAGUGAAAAAGAAGGUCAAGUUCCUGCCAUCACUUGGAUCUACAUAUUCAUUACCCUUGCAGCAUGGCAUUUGUAUCCUUAAUGGUAAAGAAGAUUUGGCAUACAUUCGAGUAAAAGUUGUGAGAUCAGCAGGCCCAGUUGCUUGGGUUUACGGUAUAGACACAGGGAGUAUACACAUGUGUGAAGUGGGAGAUCUUAUUCUUCUCCCUGCUGCAGUUAUCAACUAUCCCCCAUGUGGCAGACUGGCUUUGUUACCACUUGUGCCAGCCCCCUGUGCAACAAUGGUUUCACCAUCUUUGACGCUCCUGGUGGUUCUCGCACAAUGCUCUGACUUGGCUGAGGAUCUCUGUAAUGUAAACAUUUGGUCGAUUGCCAGCUUGAUGCAGGUUAAAGAGUUGACACAGCUGACUCUGGAACUUUUAAGAGCAAUUGUUGAGAACAUUCCCAAGACUGAUCUCUUACCUGAUGUGUGUUCAGUCAUCACAGAUUACUUACUAAGAGCAACAUUAAGGAAAACACAAGACCUACUAUGUACUAGAACAGCAUAUUCAAUUCUCAUCUCUGCAAUAAAGACAUGUUCCAAGAUACGUCUUUCUCUGGCAAAAGAGGGGGUUUUCACUACACUGUGUAAUUUGGGGCUCAAGACUGGGGAGCAGCAGGCUUUUCAAGUUGUCAAGAUGCUAUUAGGUGGAAGAAAAGCAAUGAAGAAGUGGUCCAGCUUGUCCAGAAAAGUGUCACAUAUUCAUCACAAAAGAGGUUUGCAUAAUUGGAAACCACAGAGAGACACAGUACAAGCCCUCAGUACACCUUCCGAUACAGACAGUUCUCCAGCCAUAAUAUGUUUGGCAGUAAUGACCAGCCCGGACCGUAACUGGGAUUUGGAGGUGCGUGGUACUAUCAAGAGUAAGCAGCUGGUUCCUUACCAAAGUCAUGGAGGAUGGUGUCAGGACAAAGGACAAAUAAUUACCACUUAUACUGAUUAUUCUGGGGAUGCUGAACACUGGCCUUGGAGGUAAAAUAUACAUCGGCCUCAAUCAGUUGGGAAUUGUUGAAGGGGUGAGGACAAGCAGGAAUCAGCGUGACUGUUUCAUGCUUGGUGCGUCCACAACAAAGCACAUUGUAUCGGUACCGUGAUGAUCCAGAGCCCAUAUUUGUUCGGGAAGGUGGUGUGACGAACACCCUCCGUGGACAGCAGCUCGACCAACGACUGCUUUCUUCCGCAAAAGAAGUUUGU